AGAUGUCAGAUAUGUGAUUCUGUAUUGUAUAAUCCUACAGCAUCAAUAAAUAGUUAGAUUAUAUUCAUUACAGAGUUUCAUAAAACAGAGACAUGGGUGUCAUAGUUCAAAAAGAUCUCUAUUAAUGUAACAACGGUCAACAGUUUUACAAGAGUUGGUGCCUUAAAGGGACUAGUUUUGUUUACUAAGAAAAUUAAUUUGUGUGGAAAAGCCCAUUUCCCUAUAACUCAAAAAUUAAUUUUUACCUAAAGCUUUUUGAGAAGGUUUGUUGAAGAUGCUGGCUCUCCAUUGAUUUGUUCAAUAACAAGAGUAAUCAGGCUGGGCGCGGCAGCUCACACCUUUAAUCCCAGCACUUUGGGAGGCAGAGAGAAGCGGAUCACCUGAGGUCAGGAGUUUGAGACCAGCCUGGCCAGCAUAGUGAAACCUUGUCUCUACUAAAAAUACAAAACAAUUAGCGGGGCAUGGUGGUGGGCGCCUGUAAUCCCAGCUACUCAAGAGGCUGAGACGCGAGAACUGCUUGAACCCAGGAGGCAGAGGUAGAAGUGAGCCGAGAUAGAGCCCCUGCAUCCCAGCCUGGGCAACAGAGCAAGACUCUGUCUCAAAAAAAACAAACAAAACAAAACAGUAAUCAUAUAUGGCCUUAUAGCAGGACAUUUUAGACAUCUUUUUCAGACUUCUACUUGAGUCCAGUGCCUACUCUGUGCUAAGCAUCAUGCUGAGCACUUUAUAACACAUAACCCCAUUUAAUCUCUUGUUGCUGAAGAUGAAACUGAGGCAUAGAGAUUUUAAAUAGCUGGCCCAAGGUCAUACAGCUAAAAAGUAGCAGAACUAAACAAAGAGAGCCUAUCUGUUUUCAGUGGUUCUUGUAGAGCUCCUAACCACUAUAAUGCAACAAAGAAACAUUGAAAAGCAGGAAAAAAACUCAGGAAAAGAUGAAGAAUAUGCUCCACAAGAAGUUUGGAAUCCUUAUGACAUUUUCUGAACUUGUUGGUUCUAACUGGAUUUUACUGGGGGUGAUCAGCAAGGAAACAUCUGGGUUCUCUAAGAACCUUUACUGUCAUCUGAGAGAAUCAAAUGUUUCCUGGACUUGGAUGGUUAUUCUUGUGCUCAAGAAAAUUGGGGAGUGCUUAGGGUUAGUCAUCAGAAGGAAGAAAGCACUAGAAAUCACCCAGUAAACAGUGCUCUUGUAGUGCCACCCGGUCAUCUCUUGCUGCGUUAUGUUUCUACCUGAUUUUCCUCUUCUGUGGAGAACAUGGCAUAUUCUUAUACACAAAAUUAAGAGAGUAGGGAAACCCUAUUGUGAAAUACUAUUUUAAUAUUAUGACAUUGUCAUGCUUGCUUUGACAGCUCAUAUACUAAAAAUGGAACCAUAUAGAGAAGAGUAUCAUGGCUUCUGCACAAGGAUGACAUGCCAAUUCGUGAAGCAUUCCAUAUUUUUAAAAUCUGUAUAUUAUGACAUUGACAGUUUAUACAAAAUCCCAGAGACUAUUGCCAGAGACUGAAAAUGUCAUCAAAUGGUCUCAGGACAAGUUCAUAUCCUCCUGAAGUCUAACCCACCACAAUAAGGUGACUCCUUCAGUAACUUCCAUGUGAUAGGUCUCAUAAGAUGUUCAUUUCUGACAUUAUUGCUGCAGUCACUGUGAAUUCUCAACAUAAGUCUUUUAGUGCAACAUUUUCAUUAGGAGGAAUUUCAAGAUCCAGAAUUAAAGUGUUAUGCCUUAAAUCAGACAAAAUCUUAGCACCAAAUUAUUACAGGUGUUUCAUUUUCUUGAAGAACUAUUCCAAAAAAAACCCAGCACUUCUUCAGGGAAUGUACUGAUAAGAAUAAAGAACAAAAUAAAGAUUGUCAUUCAUGACUGUUUCAGAUUUUGAACGCUGCUUUCAAGGUAAAAGCUCUUUUUAAAACCUAUU
rnacentral:lncRNA from 10 species